rnacentral:rRNA from 1 species
GACGAACGCUGGCGGCGUGCUUAACACAUGCAAGUCGAACGAAAAGAGGGAAAGAGCUUGCUCUUUCCGGAAUUGAGUGGCAAACGGGUGAGUAACACGUAAACAACCUGCCUUCAGGAUGGGGACAACAGACGGAAACGACUGCUAAUACCGAAUAAGUUCCAAGGGCCGCAUGGCCCAUGGAAGAAAAGGUGGCCUCUACCUGUAAGCUAUCGCCUGAAGAGGGGUUUGCGUCUGAUUAGCUGGUUGGAGGGGUAACGGCCCACCAAGGGGACGAUCAGUAGCCGGUCGGAGAGGAUGAACGGCCAACCUGGAACUGAGACACGGUCCAGAAUCCUACGGGAGGCAGCAGUGGGGAAUCUUCCGCAAUGGGCGAAAGCCUGACGGAGCAACGCCGCGUGAGUGAUGACGGCCUUCGGGUUGUAAAACUCUGUGAUCCGGGACGAAAAGGCAGAGUGCGAAGAACAAACUGCAUUGACGGUACCGGAAAAGCAAGCCACGGCUAACUACGUG